rnacentral:rRNA from 1 species
GAAAAGAAAGCAAAAGCGAUUUCCCAAGUAACGGCGAGUGAACAGGAAGAAGCCUAGCGCUUAGGCUCAAUGGGAUGGUCAGCAGCAAUGUUGGUCGUCGUUUUCGAAAAGCCAUUGAGCGGUGCAGCGUUACAAACUGCGAUGUUUAGUAAUACCAUUGGUAGUAAUUUUUAUUAAUUGCUACCCUUAGCCUAGUAUGCAAGUUCCAUUGACUUGGACUAAUUGUAAAUGACUAAAGAUUUGGGUAAAACUGAGUCUUUUGUUGAGCCAGAGUGGGUGAAAGCCCCAUACCGUGCAGGCAUUGGUAUUACGAAUCGUAGCUGAUGCAGUCAAAUGUAUCAACUUUGUUAGAGUCGAGUUGCUUGAGAGUGCAACUUAAAGUGCGAGGUAAACUACUCGUAAGGCUAUGUAAUACGGCUACGACACCGAUAGCAAACAAGUACCGUGAGGGAAAGUUGAAAUAGAACUUUGUAGAGAGAGUUAACAGGGCGUGAAACCGUUAAUUGGCAAACGAAUCGGAGCCACGAAGUCGUUUCGCUGUUAGUUGGGUUAGAUUCAGUGUAGAUGUCAAAAGCAUUUGCGCGUAUUUCUAUACUUCCAACCAUCAUUGUAAGCGUACACUGCAACCAGUUAGACAAUUGGUGAUGGAAAUAGUCUAUCAAGUCUUCGGGCUUCUUAGGCGAAUUAUUUGUUUGUUUAUAUUAGUAGUAACGUGUGGUAAUCUUCGGAAUAUUCAUGUUGCUGGAUAUAAAUGAGUGAGCUAUUACCAAAUACUGACUGGCAAAAUGAAAAUCACUUCACUUAAGAAGUGUUUACAUAAAAUGCUGUUUGUUGUAUACAGGUCUACUUGCUUGACCAUUGGGCUUAAGCUCAACAUUUUUGAAUUUGGACUUGCUAGCUAUCAGUGGGGCAACCCCUGAUGCUAGUAUAGCCUCCAUCUAAUCGGGUGUUGACUUGGUCUAAUGUCUUGUUUGAGUAAGAAUCGUUUGGGCUUGUAUGCAAAUAAAUUAGCCAUU